rnacentral:rRNA from 1 species
CCUACGGGAGGCAGCAGUGAGGAAUAUUGGUCAGUGGGCGCAAGCCUGAACCAGCCAAGUCGCGUGAAGGACGAAGGUGCCAAGCAUUGUAAACUUCUUUUGUCAAGGGACAAAAUCAGGCUCGAGAGCCUGACCGAGGGUACUUGAAGAAAAAGCAUCGGCUAACUCCGUGCCAGCAGCGGCGGUAAUACGGAGGAUGCUAGCGUUAUCCGGAUUUAUUGGGUUUAAAGGGUGCGUAGGCGGGCUGUUAAGUCAGCGGUAAAAGCCCGGGGCUCAACCCCGGCGAGCCGUUGAAACUGGCUGUCUUGAGAUGUCGAGAGGUAUGCGGAAUGCGCAGUGUAGCGGUGAAAUGCUUAGAUAUUGCGCAGAACUCCGAUUGCGAAGGCAGCAUACCGGCGGCGAUCUGACGCUGAGGCACGAAAGCGUGGGUAUCGAACAGGAUUAGAUACCCCAGUAGUC